UACGUAGGGUGCGAGCGUUAAUCGGAAUUACUGGGCGUAAAGCGUGCGCAGGCGGUUUUGUAAGCCAGAUGUGAAAGCCCCGGGCUUAACCUGGGAAUGGCAUUUGGGACUGCAAGGCUGGAGUGCGGCAGAGGAGACUGGAAUUCCUGGUGUAGCAGUGAAAUGCGUAGAUAUCAGGAGGAACACCGGUGGCGAAGGCGGGUCUCUGGGCCGAUACUGACGCUGAGGAGCGAAAGCGUGGGGAGCAAACAGG
rnacentral:rRNA from 1 species